rnacentral:precursor_RNA from 1 species
AAGCCAAGCAAAUCAAGAAUGUUGUUCCAAUUGCUCAUUCAUGAUUGGCCUCGCUUUUA